AUACGGAGGAUCCGAGCGUUAUCCGGAUUUAUUGGGUUUAAAGGGAGCGUAGGUGGACAGUUAAGUCAGUUGUGAAAGUUUGCGGCUCAACCGUAAAAUUGCAGUUGAUACUGGCUGUCUUGAGUACAGUAGAGGUGGGCGGAAUUCGUGGUGUAGCGGGGAAAUGCUUAGAUAUCACGAAGAACUCCGAUUGCGAAGGCAGCUCACUGGACUGCAACUGACACUGAUGCUCGAAAGUGUGGGUAUCAAACAGGAUUAGAUACCCUGGUAGUCCACACAGUAAACGAUGAAUACUCGCUGUUUGCGAUAUACAGUAAGCGGCCAAGCGAAAGCAUUAAGUAUUCCACCUGGGGAGUACGCCGGCAACGGUGAAACUCAAAGGAAUUGACGGGG
rnacentral:rRNA from 1 species